rnacentral:rRNA from 1 species
AGCAGCCGCGGUAAUUCCAGCUCCAAUAGCGUAUAUUAAAGUUGUUGCAGUUAAAAAGCUCGUAGUUGAAUUUCGGGAUCAAUAUGUUGGUCGUGCCUUGGUACGUACUAAUUUAUUGGUUUCUUCCUUCUGACGAACCAUGAUGUCAUUAAUUUGGUGUCUUGGGGAAUCAGGACUGUUACUUUGAAAAAUUGAGUGUUUAAAGCAGGCUCACGCUUGAAUACAUUAGCAUGGAAUAAUGAAAUAGGACGUUUGAUUCUAUUUUGUUGGUUUCUAGGAUUGACGUAAUGAUUAAUAGGGAUAGUUGGGGGCAUUAGUAUUCAAUUGUCAGAGGUGAAAUUCUUGGAUUUAUUGAAGACUAACUACUGCGAAAGCAUUUGCCAAGGAUGUUUUCAUUAAUCAAGAACGAAAGUUAGGGGAUCGAAGACGAUC